GCCUCAUUACAGAAUAAGAUCUGUAACACUCUAUUUUAUGAUUCCAGUUUAUCACUGGCCAGACUUACAGCACUUUUCCAGUAGUUUUUGUGAGAGGAACAGGAAGCUUUAAGAGAUAUCCGGAUAUGUUUUAUCUAGGGGGAAAAAAAAAAAAGUGUACUCUUAAUGAAUGUUUAAACCGUAUUGAAGAGAAACAGGUACAUCUCUAAUGCAUUCUAGCCAGCUGAAGAAAAUCACACUUGUUUAUCCUAACCAGUUAAUGAGUUAAAAAAAAUGGCUCAGCUAUAUUUACCUCUUAGUCUGACACUGUCUGAAGAAUGGAUUGUUUCUUUCAUUUUGCCGUUUUCAGUCAUCCCGGAAGACUGUGGUUUCAUGUGUGAAAGUCUUUCUCCUCAUCCUUCUCUUUCUCUUCUCUCAUCAGAUUCAUGCUGCACGCUUAAUGUCAUCCACCAAUUGAAUUGUUUGGUCAUGGACAUUCCCAAAGAAAAUAAAGGAGAUUCCAAGAUAAAAUAAUAAAACUAGAAUUUAUAUAUGAACUCUUAUCAUGAAGUAGGAGAAGAUAAUGCGUGUCAAGCACCCUGUUUAACUUGCUCUAGAUGCAACGUCCUAUGUGAGGAGCAAGACACUGCAGCAGAAACAAGCAUGUAAGCAGGGAAUUUUGUUGAGUCAAUUUUGGGGGGUUGUAUCUUUUGCUGAGCCUAUUAUCACAUGCAAACUUCCAGCCACUGUCUAUCUGUCUAGUCUCCAUCUCUCACGGUAGCGUAACUGCACUGCCAAGCAUCUCGUCCUUAUUUUGCUAAUAUGAGGGCUAAGAGCUUCUCCUUCUCACAGCAGUACAUUCUAUUUGGUUUUUGGAGAAGUUAUGGUAGAAUGAUGAUGAAUCCAAAUCUGAGGAGGUGAGAGGAACUUGACAACUGCAAUGAGAAAAAUAAUCCUGAAAAGAAAAUUAUUUUUCUUUGCCAAAAAUGCUGUUCAGCAAAGGUAUAGACAUUCUUAAAAGGUUAAUAUUUCUUGCACUCUUGGAAAUAUGGGACUUGGGAAAAAAGUCAACACUCCUUCACAUCUUCCUUUACCCCCACUUAUGGCUCUCGCAGAUUUAGCCU
ensembl:lncRNA